rnacentral:rRNA from 1 species
GUCUUGACAUGCUUAGGAACCUUCCCGAAACGGAGGGGUGCCCGCAAGGGAGCCUUUGCACAGGUGCUGCAUGGCUGUCGUCAGCUCGUGUCGUGAGAUGUCGCGUUAAGUCGCUUAACGAGCGAAACCCUUGUCCUUAGUUACCAGCGGGUAAAGCCGGGGACUCUAAGGAGACUGCCGGUGUUAAACCGGAGGAAGGUGGGGAUGACGUCAAGUCCUCAUGGCCUUUAUGACUAGGGCUGCACACGUNNNANAAUGGUCGGUACAAAGGGAUGCAAAAUCGUGAGAUCAAGCGAACCCCAAAAAGCCGGCCUCAGUUCGGAUUGCAGGCUGCAACCCGCCUGCAUGAANNNGGAAUCGCUAGUAAUCGCGGGUCAGAAUACCGCGGUGAAUGUGUUNNUGAGCCUUGUACACACCGCCCGUCAAGCCACGAAAGUGGGGGGCAUCCAAUAACGCUGUCGUAACCCGCAAGGGAGCAAGGCGNNUAAGAUGAACUCCGCGAUUGGGAUUAAGUCGUAACAAGGUAGC